CCUACGGGGGGCAGUAGUGGGGAAUAUUGGACAAUGGGGGGAACCCUGAUCCAGCCAUGCCGCGUGUGUGAAGAAGGCCCUCGGGUUGUAAAGCACUUUCAGUGAGGAAGAACGCCUGGUGGUUAAUACCCAUCAGGAAAGACAUCACUCACAGAAGAAGCACCGGCUAACUCCGUGCCAGCAGCCGCGGUAAUACGGAGGGUGCGAGCGUUAAUCGGAAUUACUGGGCGUAAAGCGCGCGUAGGUGGCUUGAUAAGCCGGUUGUGAAAGCCCCGGGCUCAACCUGGGAACGGCAUCCGGAACUGUCAAGCUAGAGUGCAGGAGAGGAAGGUAGAAUUCCCGGUGUAGCGGUGAAAUGCGUAGCGAUCGGGAGGAAUACCAGUGGAGAAGGCGGCCUUCUGGACUGAAACUGACACUGAGGUGCGAAAGCGUGGGUAGCAAACAGGAUUAGAUACCCUAGUAGUC
rnacentral:rRNA from 1 species